CCAGAAAAUUCAACCGCUAAACCAUGGCUACCAAUCAAUCAGAACUACAAGGAUGUGAAUGUGGCAACACAACGGCAAAUACCACGUAGCACAUUGAACUUUUACAAACAAUUGAUACAAAUUCGUAAACAUGAUACGUUUGUGUACGGUUCAUUCAAAUCGACUGUUUUGAAUGAAAAUGUGUUUGCGUAUGUCAGAGAGCUUGAAAAUAGUGACACUUACUGGAUCCUCAUAAACUUUGGAAUUCGUGAAGAGAAAAUCGAUCUGACUAAAAGUAAUCUGGGUAAAAAUGUGAAAGAAUUAGAGCUGGCUCUCGUUAGCACUGAUUCAUGCUACGUGAAAGGUCAUAUUGUAAAAUCCAAUGAAAUUGUCUUAGGAAGAUAUGAUGCAAUUAUAUUGAGAGGUGCUGUUCGUCAUUCAUCAUAAAUAUUAACUUUUAAACGAUUUUGUAUGAAAUAAAUUAUAAUGUACUAACGUUUACAAUGA